UACGUAGGGUGCGAGCGUUGUCCGGAAUUAUUGGGCGUAAAGAGCUUGUAGGCGGUUUGUCGCGUCUGCUGUGAAAAUCCGGGGCUCAACCCCGGACUUGCAGUGGGUACGGGCAGACUAGAGUGUGGUAGGGGAGACUGGAAUUCCUGGUGUAGCGGUGAAAUGCGCAGAUAUCAGGAAGAACACCAAUGGCGAAGGCAGCUCUCUGGGACGGUACUGACGCUGAGACGCGAAAGCGUGGGGAGCGAACAGG
rnacentral:rRNA from 1 species